UACGGGGGGUGCGAGCGUUGUCCGGAAUCACUGGGCGUAAAGGGCGCGUAGGUGGCCUGAUAAGGGUGUGGUGAAAGUCCGGGGCUUAACCCCGGAUCUGCCGUGCCGACUGUUAGGCUAGAGUGCUGUAGGGGCAGGCGGAAUUCCGGGUGUAGCGGUGGAAUGCGUAGAGAUCCGGAGGAAGACCGGUGGCGAAGGCGGCCUGCUGGGCAGAUACUGACACUGAGGCGCGACAGCGUGGGGAGCAAACAGGAUUAGAAACCCUUUAGUCC
rnacentral:rRNA from 1 species